AGUGAACGCUGGCGGUAGGCCUAACACAUGCAAGUCGAACGGCAGCACAGUAAGAGCUUGCUCUUACGGGUGGCGAGUGGCGGACGGGUGAGGAAUACAUCGGAAUCUACUUUUUCGUGGGGGAUAACGUAGGGAAGCUUACGCUAAUACCGCAUACGACCUACGGGUGAAAGCAGGGGAUCCUCGGACCUUGCGCGAUUGAAUGAGCCGAUGUCGGAUUAUCUAGUUGGCGGGGUAAAGGCCCACCAAGGCGACGAUCCGUAGCUGGUCUGAGAGGAUGAUCAGCCACACUGGAACUGAGACACGGUCCAGACUCCUACGGGAGGCAGCAGUGGGGAAUAUUGGACAAUGGGCGCAAGCCUGAUCCAGCCAUACCGCGUGGGUGAAGAAGGCCUUCGGGUUGUAAAGCCCUUUUGUUGGGAAAGAAAAGCAGCAGGUUAAUACCCCGCUGUUCUGACGGUACCCAAAGAAUAAGCACCGGCUAACUUCGUG
rnacentral:rRNA from 1 species